rnacentral:lncRNA from 1 species
GCAGCCCCGCCCCGCAGCCCGCCCCGCCCCGUAGCCCCACAGCCUCACUCCGCGGCCCCGCAGCCCCGCAGCCCGCCCCGCAGCCCCACAGCCUCGCUCCGCAGCCCCGCAGCCCCGCAGCCCCACAGCCUCGCCCCGCAGCCCCGCAGCCCCGCAGCCCGCCCCGCAGCCCGCAGACUCCCCUUCCCCCCUGGGCGCCGCUGCACUGACGCUGAGUCCCGCCGCCCCGCCCCGCUCGCUCGGAGCCCCCGCCGCUGGGGCUGGGCUGGGGAGGAAAGGUCGCUGGGGCCGGAGGGUGUCGCAGGUCAAGAGGCAGCUGCCAUUGAAAGAUAGCGAGUGCCUGUUUCCAGGACAGCGAGCACCAGGGGAGCCACCAGAGGUGUUAAAGGAAAGCUUAAACUACCUAAAUGACUGAUAAUGGUCUCCGGCUGCCCAAGAAGGUUGUGGAUGCCAAGAGAAAGGUAACCAUUUCUCAUCUCCUCGAGUGGAACUGGAUGUCUCUAGGAGCC